GCAAGGGGGCGGAGGAGGCCGCGAGCGGGAAAGAGGGUGCUGGCCGUGCCUGACCCCAGCGCUUCCACCCUCGCCUUCCUCGGGCCGCCUGGCUCGGCUCCCCUGCCUCGCCAUGUCGGACACGCGUGGCGGCAGUGACAGCAGUCCCGACGAGACCGGCGUCGAGAAACAGGUUCCUGGACCUGGACUCCUGGACUCGGAUGAUUCAGAAAGUGAGGGAGAAGACCUGGCAAGCCCUGCUUCUCUUGAGCCCUUUCCCUCCCUGGCACCCACUCAAAGGGAGGAGGAGGGGACGGCAAGGCCUGAUUCUCUCGAGCCUUCUUCUGAUUUGGCAACGCCCCAAGAACAGUUUUGGAGUGAUGCAAGACUGCACAGGCGUGACCAGCACGCGCAGCAGAAGCAGCGUUGGGAUAAAGCCAAGUCAUAAUUGUCAUGCAGUGACAUCUGCAGAGACUAUAAAUAGGAGGCGGGACUUCCUGGUUUUUUGUCUUGGACAAAGCAAUGAAUUUGCGCGGGCAAACUGUAUCAAUGGAGGGAAGAAUAUAUUCGUGAGUAAUUCUGGCCUUAUCUGUAAUUUCCUUGUUAUCUCCAGAAACUUGGCAGGCCCGUGGGUAGACGUGGCCAGGACAUUUAUAUAUAUGUAAAUAAAUCAGAAAAGGAGG